AACGAACGCUGGCGGCAGGCCUAACACAUGCAAGUCGAACGCCCCGCAAGGGGAGUGGCAGACGGGUGAGUAACGCGUGGGAACCUACCUCUUGGUGCGGAAUAACUUCGGGAAACCGGUGCUAAUACCGCAUACGCCCUUUGGGGGAAAGAUUUAUCGCCAAGAGAUGGGCCCGCGUCGGAUUAGCUUGUUGGUGAGGUAAAGGCUCACCAAGGCGACGAUCCGUAGCUGGUCUGAGAGGAUGAUCAGCCACACUGGGACUGAGACACGGCCCAGACUCCUACGGGAGGCAGCAGUGGGGAAUAUUGGACAAUGGGCGCAAGCCUGAUCCAGCUAUGCCGCGUGAGUGAAGAAGGCCUUGGGGUUGUAAAGCUCUUUCGACGGGGAAGAUAAUGACGGUACCCGUAGAAGAAGCCCCGGCUAACUUCGUGCCAGCAGCCGCGGUAA
rnacentral:rRNA from 1 species